UUAAGCGACUAAGCGUACACGGUGGAUGCCCUGGCAGUCAGAGGCGAUGAAGGACGUGCUAAUCUGCGAAAAGCGUCGGUAAGGUGAUAUGAACCGUUAUAACCGGCGAUGUCCGAAUGGGGAAACCCAGUGUGAUUCGUCACACUAUCGUUAACUGAAUACAUAGGUUAACGAGGCGAACCGGGGGAACUGAAACAUCUAAGUACCCCGAGGAAAAGAAAUCAACCGAGAUUCCCCCAGUAGCGGCGAGCGAACGGGGAGCAGCCCAGAGUCUGAAUCAGCUUGUGUGUUAGUGGAACGGUCUGGAAAGUCCGACGGUACAGGGUGAUAGUCCCGUACACCAAAAUGCACAGGCUGUGAACUCGAAGAGUAGGGCGGGACACGUGGUAUCCUGUCUGAAUAUGGGGGGACCAUCCUCCAAGGCUAAAUACUCCUGACUGACCGAUAGUGAACCAGUACCGUGAGGGAAAGGCGAAAAGAACCCCGGCGAGGGGAGUGAAAAAGAACCUGAAACCGUGUACGUACAAGCAGUGGGAGCACCUUCGGGUGUGACUGCGUACCUUUUGUAUAAUGGGUCAGCGACUUAUAUUCUGUAGCAAGGUUAACCGUAUAGGGGAGCCGCAGGGAAACCGAGUCUUAACUGGGCGUUAAGUUGCAGGGUAUAGACCCGAAACCCGGUGAUCUAGCCAUGGGCAGGUUGAAGGUUGGGUAACACUAACUGGAGGACCGAACCGACUAAUGUUGAAAAAUUAGCGGAUGACUUGUGGCUGGGGGUGAAAGGCCAAUCAAACCGGGAGAUAGCUGGUUCUCCCCGAAAGCUAUUUAGGUAGCGCCUCGUGAACUCAUCUUCGGGGGUAGAGCACUGUUUCGGCUAGGGGGUCAUCCCGACUUACCAACCCGAUGCAAACUACGAAUACCGAAGAAUGUUAUCACGGGAGACACACGGCGGGUGCUAACGUCCGUCGUGAAGAGGGAAACAACCCAGACCGCCAGCUAAGGUCCCAAAGUCAUGGUUAAGUGGGAAACGAUGUGGGAAGGCACAGACAGCCAGGAUGUUGGCUUAGAAGCAGCCAUCAUUUAAAGAAAGCGUAAUAGCUCACUGGUCGAGUCGGCCUGCGCGGAAGAUGUAACGGGGCUAAACCAUGCACCGAAGCUGCGGCAGCGACACUAUGUGUUGUUGGGUAGGGGAGCGUUCUGUAAGCCUGCGAAGGUGACCUGUGAGGGUUGCUGGAGGUAUCAGAAGUGCGAAUGCUGACAUAAGUAACGAUAAAGCGGGUGAAAAGCCCGCUCGCCGGAAGACCAAGGGUUCCUGUCCAACGUUAAUCGGGGCAGGGUGAGUCGACCCCUAAGGCGAGGCCGAAAGGCGUAGUCGAUGGGAAACAGGUUAAUAUUCCUGUACUUGGUGUUACUGCGAAGGGGGGACGGAGAAGGCUAUGUUAGCCGGGCGACGGUUGUCCCGGUUUAAGCAUGUAGGCUGGUUAUCCAGGCAAAUCCGGAUAAUCAAGGCUGAGGUGUGAUGACGAGGCACUACGGUGCUGAAGUAACAAAUGCCCUGCUUCCAGGAAAAGCCUCUAAGCAUCAGGUAACAUCAAAUCGUACCCCAAACCGACACAGGUGGUCAGGUAGAGAAUACCAAGGCGCUUGAGAGAACUCGGGUGAAGGAACUAGGCAAAAUGGUGCCGUAACUUCGGGAGAAGGCACGCUGGUGUGUAGGUGAAGCCCCUGCGGGUGGAGCUGAGACCAGUCGAAGAUACCAGCUGGCUGCAACUGUUUAUUAAAAACACAGCACUGUGCAAACACGAAAGUGGACGUAUACGGUGUGACGCCUGCCCGGUGCCGGAAGGUUAAUUGAUGGGGUUAUCCGUAAGGAGAAGCUCUUGAUCGAAGCCCCGGUAAACGGCGGCCGUAACUAUAACGGUCCUAAGGUAGCGAAAUUCCUUGUCGGGUAAGUUCCGACCUGCACGAAUGGCGUAAUGAUGGCCAGGCUGUCUCCACCCGAGACUCAGUGAAAUUGAACUCGCUGUGAAGAUGCAGUGUACCCGCGGCAAGACGGAAAGACCCCGUGAACCUUUACUAUAGCUUGACACUGAACAUUGAGCCUUGAUGUGUAGGAUAGGUGGGAGGCUUUGAAGCGUGGACGCCAGUCUGCGUGGAGCCAACCUUGAAAUACCACCCUUUAAUGUUUGAUGUUCUAACGUUGGCCCUUACCGGGGUUGCGGACAGUGUCUGGUGGGUAGUUUGACUGGGGCGGUCUCCUCCCAAAGCGUAACGGAGGAGCACGAAGGUUAGCUAAUCGGUCGGACAUCAGGAGGUUAGUGCAAUGGCAUAAGCUAGCUUGACUGCGAGCGUGACGGCGCGAGCAGGUGCGAAAGCAGGUCAUAGUGAUCCGGUGGUUCUGAAUGGAAGGGCCAUCGCUCAACGGAUAAAAGGUACUCCGGGGAUAACAGGCUGAUACCGCCCAAGAGUUCAUAUCGACGGCGGUGUUUGGCACCUCGAUGUCGGCUCAUCACAUCCUGGGGCUGAAGUAGGUCCCAAGGGUAUGGCUGUUCGCCAUUUAAAGUGGUACGCGAGCUGGGUUUAGAACGUCGUGAGACAGUUCGGUCCCUAUCUGCCGUGGGCGCUGGAGAAUUGAGGGGGGCUGCUCCUAGUACGAGAGGACCGGAGUGGACGCAUCACUGGUGUUCGGGUUGUCAUGCCAAUGGCACUGCCCGGUAGCUAAAUGCGGAAGAGAUAAGUGCUGAAAGCAUCUAAGCACGAAACUUGCCCCGAGAUGAGUUCUCCCUGAGACUUUAAGUCUCCUGAAGGAACGUUGAAGACGACGACGUUGAUAGGCCGGGUGUGUAAGCGCAGCGAUGCGUUGAGCUAACCGGUACUAAUGAACCGUGAGGCUUAACCU
rnacentral:rRNA from 1 species